ensembl:lncRNA
CAGCUGGCACCAGCAGCAGACAGGGAAUGCAGUGGGAGAGAAUUCCCCGUGCCUCAGCAGCUCUGGAGCAAGGGCAAUGAGAAAUCUCAAUAGGAAGCCUGCACAGCAAAGAUUUCUUCAUCCUUUUUUGAAGGCACAGUGUGACCAAAGAACACAGAUAAGGCUCCAAAAGUCCUUUGGGAUCUCCAAGACAAAAACUAGAGAGUGAAACAGCAGUUUUAGAAGGCUAUGUCAUGGAGAAGCACAACAGCUGUUGUAUUGUGCUAGGCACUAUAUUUACAUAGGUGGAAAAGAGGAUGCUUGUCCCCAAGCCCAAAACAAGAGAUGUGAAGUGGGCUCAGAUGGAUGAAACAAAAAGAAAUGGUGAAACCACCAUGCUGCUAUCACGGCACAGGGAUGAGGAUGUUUUCUGAUUCUGAGGAAUCCUCGCUAUGAGCCCUCUCCUCUGCCCUCAGGCUCUCUGCUGUUGCAAGUUGCCUUAUCGUCUUCACACCAGCCCCCAUGGCACGCAGGAGAUGGG